rnacentral:rRNA from 1 species
GACGAACGCUGGCGGCGUGCUUAGCACAUGCAAGUCGAGCGGUAAGGCCCUUUCGGGGGUACACGAGCGGCGAACGGGUGAGUAACACGUGGGUGACCUGCCUCUAGCUCUGGGAUAAGCCUGGGAAGCUGGGUCUAAUACCGGAUAUGACCUCGCGGUGCAUGUUGCGGGGUGGAAAGCCUUGUGCGGCUAGGGGAUGGGCCCGCGGCCUAUCAGCUUGUUGGUGGGGUGAUGGCCUACCAAGGCGACGACGGGUAGCCGGCCUGAGAGGGCGACCGGCCACACUGGGACUGAGACACGGCCCAGACUCCUACGGGAGGCAGCAGUGGGGAAUCUUGCGCAAUGGGCGAAAGCCUGACGCAGCGACGCCGCGUGAGGGAUGACGGCCU